rnacentral:rRNA from 1 species
AGUUUGAUCCGGCUCAGGAUGAUCGCUAGCGGCAGGCCUAAUACAUGCAAGUCGGACGGUAGCCGACCCUUCGGGGCCGGCGAGAGUGGCGGACGGGUGCGUAACGCGUAUGCAACCACCCCCCCACAGCGGGACAGCCGGUGGAAACGCCGGGCAAUCCCCGUAUGCCGCCGUGUCGGGGCCUCCCGGCAUGGCCAAAGGCUACGGGCGGGGGGGGACGGGCAUGCGUGCCAUUUAGCUGGUUUGGCGGGGGCGACGGCCCACCAAGGCGACGAUGGCUAGGGGAUCUGAGAGGACGGUCCCCCACACUGGUACUGAGACACGGACCAGACUCCUGCGGGAGGCAGCAGUAAGGGAUAUUGGGCAAUGGGGGGAACCCUGACCCAGCCAUGCCGCGUGAGGGAAUGGGGCCCUACGGGUCGUGAACCUCUUUUGCCGGGGGACAACGGCGGCGUCGAGAACGCCGCGUGCGGGUACCCGGCGAAUAAGCGUCGGCUAACUCCGUGCCAGCAGCCGCGGUAAUACGGAGGACGCGAGCGUUAUCCGGAUUCAUUGGGUUUAAAGGGUGCGCAGGCGGCCUGCCAAGUCAGCGGUGAAAGCCCGGGGCCCAACCCCGGAAGUGCCGUUGAUACUGUCGGGCUGGAAUGCGGUCGAGGCGGGCGGAACGUGGCGUGUAGCGGUGAAAUGCGUAGAUAUGCCACAGAACGCCGAUAGCGGAGGCAGCUCGCCAGGCCUGCAUUGACGCUCGGGCACGAAAGCGUGGGGAUCGAACAGGAUUAGAUACCCUGGUAGUCCACGCCGUA